ensembl:lncRNA
GUGUGUGUGUGUGUGUGUGUGUGUGUGUGUGUGUGGUUUGUGGUUUAAAGGGACAUUUUGUCGGAUACCUACUUACUCUAUGAGGACACCACCGGAUAAUUCAAACAGUGUAGCGGCACUCAGGAAGCUGUCAUCAAGCUGCUCUCAAAUUUUCUCAAAAAGUCCCGAUAAGCACAAACCCAACUUUUUUGUGUGUGUGUGUGUGUCGUCGCCAGUGUGUGGUUAUUUUCCGUGCCGACACACAUUUCCCCGCCAUUCCACACACUGAAUGAGCGUAAUUCAUUGGCUAAAAAUCCCUCGUCUGUGAUUGGCUGCAGUCAGACGUCAGUCAUGGUUCUGAUCAGUGAUUCGCUUGCAGUGAUGUCAAUCAAGCAGGUUCUGAUCAGUGAUUGGCUGCAGCGAUCAGUCUAUACGUUUCGCGGGAAAUCUCAUAAAACUGCGGCAACGAGGUGAAGCGGAUUAAGCAAUUCAUGAACAGCCGAAGUGUUCUCAACUGUGCGGAUUGAGGUAGAGAAUUUGGAUUUGCAUACAUACACGCAACGCGGCACCCAGUUCUACGCAUGCGCUCAACCCAUGAGGCCCAGUGAUGCUGGUGGCGAUACGAUACAACGACCUACCCAAAGAUGACAGAGAGAAGGAGAGGGAGGAGAAAAACUCCUGAUCAGGAUGCUAUUGACCACAUUACCAUUGGAGAAGACAAAUCUUUCCUGGAAGGAAGAUUUAUUAACACACAUAAAGGGAGAGGUGUGCUUACACAAGACUACAUUGAACCAAAAAGUUUUGUGGUGGAGUAUCGUGGAGUUUUGUCUCUGAGCGACAGUGCAGAUGACAAAAACAGCAAAUAUGCAUUUGAGUUCAUGUGGAAUGGGAAGCACUAUUGCAUAGAUGCUUCAAAAGAGGACGGAACACUGGGACGACUAGUGAACGAUGAUCACAUACAUCCCAACUGCAAAGUCAAGAGGAUAAUGGUCAAAGGAAGGCCACACUUGUGUCUAUUUUCCAUCAAGGAAAUCUUUCCAGGCGAGGAGAUAACAUUUAACUAUGGCCAUGACUCUUGGCCAUGGCGCUCAGUGGCACCCUGUGAAGAACCAUCUGACCCAAACUUGACGAAAAGUGAGCCAGUCUCAGAAAAGGACGUCUGUGAUGGGGUUGAUAUGAUGGCAACGGUUAGUUCAACUCCCGCAACAUCCAAAGACGACACUAAGUUGACAGUAUUCCUGUAAUAUGAUUUUACAUCCAGGCAUAAUACUGGACAUCUGUGAUGGGGUUGAUAUGAUGGCAGCGGUUAGUUCAACUCCCGCAACAUCCAAAGACGACACUUGCCACCAUAUACUUACCAGCGCAUUUGUCAACGCUUUGGACCAUUGUGAAGCUUGCAAUGGACCUGUCUCCGCUCUAAGAUGGCUUGGUUACACAUGCAAAUUGUGUUCAAGGUCGUGGCACAAAUCCUGCUUUAUCAAGAUGAAUCCGUUGCAGGAUGUUGAUGAGCAUGUUUCCGACUCUGCAAGUAGUCACGGCACUUCCUCCGGUGAUCUCUUUCACAUUGACACUGAAUCAAGUUGUGAUGGAAAUAGUGAUAGUGAGGAUCCACAGUGGGUAAACCUACCACAUCGCAAGGGUGGACCAGUUAAAUCACUUUAUUCUCAGGAAAGGACAGAGAGUGCCACAACCUAUGUCCUGCAUGGAACAGGAAGACAAGGAUUCUUCCAAAUCUGUAAAAUUCGACAUUGAUGGUGACCACAUACCUGAUAGUGAACCCUGUUGUGAUGAUGAUCCUACAACAAGCAAUACCCAGACUCUUCUAUCAAGUACAAAAGAGGCUUCUUCUAAUGAGGCUGCAGUCGUGCCAGAAGUCUCUCCUUGCACUCAAAGAAAUUACUGCUAUGUUUGCAAAACACCUCAAUCUAAAAUAUCCUGUCAUCUUAAAAAACAUGAAAAAGGAGAGCUUGAUAUUGCUGAAGCAUUCUCGUUUCCUAAGAAAUCAAAAGAGAGAAAAAGACUACUUGAGAAGUUGCGGAACAGAGGUAAUUACGAACACAACCAGGAAGUUUUGAGGAAUCAUGAAGGACAACUGAAAUUAAGAAGAAGACCAUCACGAUCAAAAAUCUCUGUGACAACCCAAACGCAUGUGCACUGUGCAUAUUGUAAGGGCAUGUUCAUUCGUAAGGAGCUGUGGCGCCACUUGCGUAGAUGCCCAUCAAAGACGGUCUCCGAGAGUGAGGCUGUUGGGAAGAAUAGAGUCUUAGUUGUGGCUGAUAUCUCGGAGACAACAUUCUGCCAAGCAAUUUGCGCUGGACUGUGGAAAAUCCUUAGAAAUAUGAGGCAAGAUGAGAUUGCAUCUGUUGUACGAAAUGACUUCCUCAUUCUGCAACUGGGCCAGUCUCUCUUCAACAAGCAUGGGAGUGAUUCAACAAAGUUUGAGUAUAUCAGAGCCAAGGUCCGAGAAAUGGGCAGACUGUUGUUGACCUUAAGAAAGAAAUAUUCUAUAUUUAGCUUUGAAGAAGCUGUAAAGCCAAAUCAUUUUUACAAGAUCAUUGGAGCUGUCAGAGCAGUUGCAGGAUAUGAUGAAGAGAAACACUCCUAUUGCACACCAAGCCUUGCCCUGAAAUUGGGACACUCGCUCAAGAAGAUCGGUGACAUUAUUCUCUGCAGGGCCAUCGCAGCAGAGGAUGAAGAUUUGAUUAAAGCAGCAGAACGAUUCACACAACUCUGCACAAAACAGUGGGCAACACAGGUCUCCCACACUGCACUGGCUACUUUGAGCAAGGCAAAAUUUAACAAACCAUCCACCAUACCAUUCACAGAGGAUGUGCAGCUCUUGCACAAGUACCUGGAGGACAAAUCAGCAGACGCCAUUGAAAACCUAAAAGACCAUGAUUCUCCACAGGCGUAUGCUGAACUUGCUAGGGUGACACUCACUCAGAUAAUCGUCUUUAAUAG